GUGCCAGCCGCCGCGGUAAUACGUAUGGUGCGAACGUUGUUCGGAAUCACUGGGCCUAAAGAGCGCGUAGGCGGCCAAGCAAGUCAGAUGUGAAAUACCUCGGCCUAACCGAGGAACUGCAUUUGAAACUGCAUGGCUUGAGUACAGGAGGGGAGAGUGGAAUUCCUGGUGGAGCGGUGAAAUGCGUAGAUAUCAGGAGGAACGCCGGUGGCGAAAGCGGCUCUCUGGUCUGUUACUGACGCUGAGGCGCGAAAGCUAGGGGAGCAAACGGGAUUAGAAACCCGUGUAGUCC
rnacentral:rRNA from 1 species